rnacentral:rRNA from 1 species
GAUGAACGCUGGCGGCGUGCCUAAUACAUGCAAGUCGAGCGAACAGACGAGGAGCUUGCUCCUCUGACGUUAGCGGCGGACGGGUGAGUAACACGUGGAUAACCUACCUAUAAGACUGGGAUAACUUCGGGAAACCGGAGCUAAUACCGGAUAAUAUAUUGAACCGCAUGGUUCAAUAGUGAAAGACGGUUUUGCUGUCACUUAUAGAUGGAUCCGCGCCGCAUUAGCUAGUUGGUAAGGUAACGGCUUACCAAGGCGACGAGGCGUAGCCGACCUGAGAGGGUGAUCGGCCACACUGGAACUGAGACACGGUCCAGACGCCUACGGGAGGCAGCAGUAGGGAAUCUUCCGCAAUGGGCGAAAGCCUGACGGAGCAACGCCGCGUGAGUGAUGAAGGUCUUCGGAUCGUAAAACUCUGUUAUUAGGGAAGAACAAAUGUGUAAGUAACUAUGCACGUCUUGACGGUACCUAAUCAGAAAGCCACGGCUAACUACGUG